rnacentral:rRNA from 1 species
AUUGAACGCUGGCGGCAUGCCUUACACAUGCAAGUCGAACGGUAACAGGUCUUCGGACGCUGGCGAGUGGCGAACGGGUGAGUAAUACAUCGGAACGUGCCCAGUCGUGGGGGAUAACUACUCGAAAGAGUAGCUAAUGCCGCAUACGAUCUGAGGAUGAAAGCGGGGGACCUUCGGGCCUCGCGCGAUUGGAGCGGCCGAUGGCAGAUUAGGUAGUUGGUGGGAUAAAAGCUUACCAAGCCGACGAUCUGUAGCUGGUCUGAGAGGACGACCAGCCACACUGGGACUGAGACACGGCCCAGACUCCUACGGGAGGCAGCAGUGGGGAAUUUUGGACAAUGGGCGAAAGCCUGAUUCAGCAAUGCCGCGUGCAGGAUGAAGGCCUUCGGGUUGUAAACUGCUUUUGUACGGAACGAAAAAGCUCCUUCUAAUACAGGGGGCCCAUGACGGUACCGUAAGAAUAAGCACCGGCUAACUACGUGCCAGCCGCCGCCGUAA